AUUUAAAAUAAAAACUCCUCUCUCUUAAAUCCAUUAGAUGGCUCACCCUCUCGACUCACGCCCCAACCAAGGUUUGCCCUAAACCUUCUCCUUCUUCACCCCAACCACGGUUUCAGGUCGACGAGCCCCCAAUCCGCGAGCCGCAAUCCUAUCUCCGGCCAGCUCCGGUCUCAAAUUUCUGUUGUCUGCCUGAGAUUGAAGGCCUUGUACAAGAUCAGAACAACCCAUACCCAUCGGGUUCAGAGGCCUAAUCUGCUCCUUCCUUCCAGGGUAAGAGCGAUUUGUAUUCAAAUGGCGAGAUGAAUAUUCUGCGUGAUCAGUGAAUUGAAUACGUCCAAGUACAGGCAAUGCGACAAGGGCUAUUACAAUGAUCAGUUUAUGUUUUUGUUUAUACUUUAUAUAUUCUAACUAUUUAGUGACAAUAUAUGUAAAAAUUAAUUAAUGUAAGCAAAACUUUAUUGUGUAUAAAUCAGUUUCUGUUUCCCUUUUA